rnacentral:rRNA from 1 species
AGCGAACGCUGGCGGCAGGCCUAACACAUGCAAGUCGAACGAACCCUUCGGGGUUAGUGGCGGACGGGUGAGUAACACGUGGGAACGUGCCUUUAGGUUCGGAAUAACUCAGGGAAACUAGUGCUAAUACCGAAUGUGCCCUUCGGGGGCAAGAUUUAUCGCCUUUAGAGCGGCCCGCGUCUGAUUAGCUAGUUGGUGAGGUAAUGGGUCACCAAGGCUACGAUCAGUAGCUAGUCUGAGAGGAUGACCAGCCACAUUGGGACUGCGACACGGCCCAAACUCCUACGGGAGGCAGCAGUGGGGAAUCUUGCGCAAUGGGCGAAAGCCUGACGCAGCCAUGCCGCGUGGAUGAUGAAGGUCUUAGGAUUGUAAAAUCCUUUCACCGGUGAAGAUAAUGACUGUAGCCGGAGAAGAAGCCCCGGCUAACUUCGUGCCAGCCGCCGCAGUAAAAC